CAAUAAUUUUCAGUUACAUUAUCUGAACGAAAAAAGUGGUAUAAAAAUAUAAACAUGUAUUCAUAUUAAACCAAUCUGAAUGAGAAACACAUCUCACUGCUUGAUCACUACCUCACUGGAAAAUCUCCAGCCUCUCUAAUUUUCUGUGGUAAUUCACAGAAUGUGAGCAGACUGUCAAAAUCAACUUUCCUCUUUCGAUUUUAAGUAUCAUAUAUAUGUAAUAUAUAUAAAAAAACUACCUGUAUUUGCUGCUUUUAAAAUUUAAUCUAUUCUGUAAUCUUUCUUCAUUAUUUGUAGUUUAGAAUUAUGAGAGAAGCGCACGCUUGCUGAACAGGAAUAAUUAAGUAAAUAAGACAGCUGUGGAUUGUAUCAGGCAGCAAAAUGCUGCAGACUAACAGUCUUUAUCAUAUAUACGCAUAGCAUAAAUUAAAUAUUAUGUUGUGAUAAUGUAAUGAUUUUUGACCUAACUAAAAUCUUCAAAGAUAGAGUAAAUUAUUUGGAGACACAGUAAACAAAAGCCUAGAACACAAGUAUUCGCAGUGCUCACAUACGUGAGUCUUCUCAAGAGCAGCCCACAAGUCUUGAGCACACAGCAUGUGAUUGUGUGAGGACCAUUGGGGAGCUACUCAGGAUUGCAAAGAGGGAUAAAGGUUAAAGAAGAAUCCUCCCACAGCAGUUACACGAGAGCCAGAUUUUGCUUGGAAAGCUUUAUCUUUAACAUUUUGAACUGCAUGCAUAGUCAAGAGCUGGACAUACAUGGGUGAGACAUUCAGCAAAAUUGCACAUAACCCCUUUUUAUUAAAAA